UACGAAGGGGGCUAGCGUUGCUCGGAAUCACUGGGCGUAAAGCGCACGUAGGCGGCUUUGUAAGUUAGAGGUGAAAGCCCGGGGCUCAACCCCGGAACUGCCUUUAAGACUGCAUCGCUAGAAUCGUGGAGAGGUGAGUGGAAUUCCGAGUGUAGAGGUGAAAUUCGUAGAUAUUCGGAAGAACACCAGUGGCGAAGGCGACUCACUGGACACGUAUUGACGCUGAGGUGCGAAAGCGUGGGGAGCAAACAGG
rnacentral:rRNA from 1 species